GAGGCAGGGUCUCGCUCUGUCACCCAGUGGGGAGUGCAGUGGUGCCAUGAACGCUCAUUGCAGCCUCAGGCUGGUCUCCGACUCCUGGGUUCAAAUGAUCCUCCUGCCCCAGCCUCCCAAAAUGCUGGAAUUACAGGCAUGAGUCACUGCGUCCGGCUGCUUUUCCAUUUUUCAUCGUAGCUCUAGAACAUCCAGUACAACAUUGAACAGAACCAACUAGAACAUCCAGUGCAACGUUGAACAGUAUUAGCCAGAACAUCCAGUACAAUGUUGAACAGAACCAACUAGAACAUCCAGUUCAACGUGGAACAGAACCGGCUAGAACAUCCAGUACAACGUGGAACAGAACCGACUAGAACAUCCAGUGCAACGUGGAUCAGAACCGGCUAGAACAUCCAGUGCAACGUGGAUCAGAACCGGCUAGAACAUCCAGUGCAACGUGGAACAGAACUGGCUAGAACAUCCAGUGCAACGUGGAACAGAACCGGCUAGAACAUCCAGUGCAACUUUGAACAGAAGUGUUGAAAGCAGACACCCUUGCUUGUUUCCUAUUAUAGGGGAAAAACACUCAGUCUUUCACCAUUCUGUAGGAUGUUAGCUAGGGUUUUUAAAAAAUGCCCAUUAUCAAGUUGAGGAAAUUCCCUUUUAUUCCUAGAUUGUUGAGAGUUUUUGCCAUGAAUAGACGUUGGUUUUGCUAAAUGCCUUUUGCUGCAUCUAUUGAAAUAGUCACAUAGUUUUUGUUUUUUAUUAUACUGAUUUUCAGUGUUGAACCAAUCUUUCAUUCUUGGUAUAUAUUCCAUUUGGUCAUUUUACAAAAUCCUUUUUGUAUGUUGCCAGAUUCAGCUUACUAACAUUUUUCUUAAACAGCUUUAUUAAGUUAUAAAGUGAUAUAGAAUAAACUGCAUGUAUUUAAACAA